rnacentral:lncRNA from 1 species
CUUAGAUCAGAAGAACAAUGACCACUAAGGUCUAAUGACCGUAGACCAUAAUGAUAACGACCCCCAUGAGUACUCCACAAUGGCUCAGUGGGCAGAGGUUGGGACAUUCGAAGUCUCUGUAAUUUUUAUAAUGAUGUUCCGUCCCUCUUGCACCUCACAUUUCUAGAUGAAAGCUCUAAGAGUAAGUGAGGGAUGACUGGAAAAACGUAAAGAUACUUGAAGAAGACAUAACAAUUUUGUGACCAUGGAGGGAAAGCAACAACUUAGACAUCUGGAAAGGGAGCAUCUUAAACCCUGGAAGGUUCAGAGAAAGAAGGAGCUUCACACUAGAACCUUCCUCAUGAAGGAAACACUACAGUGUAGAUCUCCCAAGAACCUUAAAUUUAGCUGACCAGUGAGGUCUUCCAUCCCCUGUUGGUUGUCUCUGACUAGAAUUUGCUCACAAUUCUCCUCACGGAGAAGUCCAUCAGAAACAGCAUGCAAAACCUCCUGAACCUCCCAUGCAAAAUACCUAUUAAUAUCUCCUGGUGUCUUCCCUUCCCUCUCCCCUAGUCUAAAUCAUUCCAUGGGGCAGAAAAAUGCCACCUGGCUACCAGUGUAGACAAACAGGAAAGAUCAAACUGACUGUCCUCAGUCAUUCUUUCUGAAAUCAAGGACUAUGCUCACUAUGAAAACUGAAUGGGAACCAUAAGGCUUAGCAGCCAGCCAGAAGACCACAUUGGAGGGACUGUCAACCUCUUCUCUGUGACCAAUACCUAGAUAAAAGUUCAGUGAAGUGGUUAAUUGUCCAUCCAAAGUAAACAAUGAAAGAUGAUAGCUGUAUAAAAUAAUAGAAGCCUGAAGAGUCUCAGACACUGUAUAGCACUGGCAAAGUACAUAUUUUGGAUACUGGCUGUGCGUCUAAAUAAGAUGUGAGGUCUGAAUGGGAUAAAUUUUCUGAACCAGUCCUGAGGAAUAUCUACCAGUGUUUCAUCUUCCUGGGCUUUGGGUUUUUCUGUCAACCAACACAAAUGAAGAUAAGCCAGUCCUCCUCUAGAAUAUAUUGCUCGAGCCUGUGUUCCUGCCCCGGGAAAGAGAGAUGACCCUCCUCCUAGUGCUUUACGUUUUCAUUUCAUCUUCAAUAAUGCAAGAAUAAAUGCAUAAAAUGGAAAUGGACUUGAGUAUGUUAUGUUACCUGAUUGAAAAGAAAGAUUUGGAACUGCAUGGCAGAAGAGC